ACUGAACGCUGGCGGCAUGCCUUACACAUGCAAGUCGAACGACAGCGGACCUUCGGGUGCCGGCGAGUGGCGAACGGGUGAGUAAUAUAUCGGAACGUGCCUUUCAGUGGGGGAUAACGUAGCGAAAGUUACGCUAAUACCGCAUAUUCUCUGAGGAGGAAAGCAGGGGACCUUCGGGCCUUGCGCUGAUAGAGCGGCCGAUAUCAGAUUAGCUAGUUGGUGGGGUAAAGGCCUACCAAGGCGACGAUCUGUAGCGGGUCUGAGAGGAUGAUCCGCCACACUGGGACUGAGACACGGCCCAGACUCCUACGGGAGGCAGCAGUGGGGAAUUUUGGACAAUGGGCGAAAGCCUGAUCCAGCCAUGCCGCGUGAGUGAAGAAGGCCUUCGGGUUGUAAAGCACUUUCGGCCGGGAAGAAAUCGCACAGGCUAAUACCUUGUGUGGAUGACGGUACCGGAAUAAGAAGCACCGGCUAACUACGUGCCAGCAGCCGCCGUAAUAC
rnacentral:rRNA from 1 species